GUAAAUCCCGCUUACCUCUGCGUCAAAAUAGGCCGUCAAAAUGUUGGACUUAGUGGACACAAUCCCAUAAUACAAUCUAGUGCAAGAACUGGACAUAAAAAUAUUAGUCACAGGGAAUCGUUGGAUGGGCAGCUUAUUGUCGUAAUGUUUUAAAAUCCCUACAAAAGUUCUCCAGCAUUAGGCUCCGUCAGCUGACUUGAGUGAUAAGGAAAUGCAUUUUAAACAAGGUUAAGUAAACCCUUAUUGCAACAAACCACUAGAUAUAACCAUUACACUAAUAUUAUAAAGUUUGUGUGUAAAUGUGAAAGUGUGUAAGUAUGUUUUUUCCUCUUUUACGCUACGGCUACAGAAGCGAUUUGACUGAAACUUGGAAUGGCAAUAGAUUUUACUCUAGAUUAACACAUAGGCUACUUUUCAUCCCGGAAAAAUCCAUGGUUCCUGCGGGAUUUGUGAAAAACUUAAUUCCACGCGGACAAAGUCGCGGGCGUCCGCUAGUUAUACAUAAAUAAUUAAAUUAUUAUCUAUGAGUUGUUUAUAAACAUUGUUAGGAGAUAUAAAAAGGAGCGUUUAUCUCCUACGAGUAUAGUAUCAGUCUAACUAGAACCCUAAGAGGUAUUAAGCUAAUAACUUAAAUAAAUUAAAAAUGAGAGGAUUCUUAGUCAUUUUUGCCGUCAUAAUGGCACUCUUUUCGUUGACUUCAGCAUUGCAAGUCGAUGCCGAAGACCAGCCAGGACUAGACCGUAUAAAGCGUGAAGAUUGUGACUUCCGCGACUGUGACCAGUUCUGCAGACGCGUCGGCUUGCCUGGAGGAGCCUGCGUCAGGAAUAGAUGCGACUGUGACAGAUUUUGAUAAAACUAUUGUCUCGUAACCUAUUAUAUAACCAAGAGCCAUACCAAUGUGACACCAUACUUAAAUUAAAUCAUAUUUUAUUUAUUUAUUGCA